rnacentral:rRNA from 1 species
AGGGCAUUUGGUGGAUGCCUUGGCAUGCACAGGCGAUGAAGGACGUGAUACGCUGCGAUAAGCGUCGGGGAGGUGCGAAUACCCUUUGAUCCGACGAUUUCCGAAUGGGGCAACCCACCUUAGAUGACUAGAAAAUCAGAUGUGUCGUUUAAGGCAAUAGGGCAAUACGGCAGUAGGGCAGUAUGUAACAAACAUAUUGCCUUAUUGCCCUACUGACUUACUGCCUUUUGAGAACGGCGCAUGUGGUUUCUAGUCAUCAGAAAUAAGGUAUCUAACCUUGAAUACAUAGGGGUUAGAAGCGAACCUGGGGAACUGAAACAUCUAAGUACCCAGAGGAAAGGACAUCAAACGAGACUCCGCUAGUAGUGGCGAGCGAACGCGGACCAGGCCAGUGGCUUUUGUGAAUGAAGUGGAACGAGUUGGAAAACUCGACCGAAGUGGGUGAUAGUCCCGUACACGUAGAAUAGCAGAAGUCCUUGAGUAGGGCGGGACACGUGAAAUCCUGUCUGAACAUGGGUCGACCACGAUCCAAGCCUAAGUACUCGUGCAUGACCGAUAGCGAACCAGUACCGUGAGGGAAAGGUGAAAAGCACCCCGACGAGGGGAGUGAAACAGUACCUGAAACCGGAUGCCUACAAACAGUUGGAGCCCAAGAUUUGUUCUGGGUGACAGCGUACCUUUUGUAUAAUGGGUCAGCGACUUAGUGUAUCGAGCAAGCUUAAGCCGGUAGGUGUAGGCGCAGCGAAAGCGAGUCUGAACAGGGCGUUCAGUUCGAUGCAUUAGACCCGAAACCAAGUGAUCUAGCCAUGAGCAGGUUGAAGGUACGGUAACACGUACUGGAGGACCGAACCCAUAUCUGUUGCAAUAGAUCGGGAUGACUUGUGGCUAGGGGUGAAAGGCCAAUCAAACUUGGAGAUAGCUGGUUCUCCGCGAAAUCUAUUUAGGUAGAGCGUCGACCGAAUACCCCCGGGGGUAGAGCACUGGAUGGGCUAUGGGGACUCACCGUCUUACUGAUCCUAACCAAACUCCGAAUACCGGGGAGUACUAGUCGGCAGACACACGGCGGGUGCUAACGUCCGUCGUGGAGAGGGCAACAACCCUGACCACCAUCUAAGGUCCCUAAGUUAUGGCUAAGUGGGAAAGGAUGUGAGGAUCCCAAAACAACCAGGAUGUUGGCUUAGAAGCAGCCAUCAUUUAAAGAAAGCGUAACAGCUCACUGGUCUAAAUAAGGGUCUUUGCGCCGAAAAUGUACCGGGGCUCAAGCCAUACACCGAAGCUGUGGAUGCACUUAAUGUGCGUGGUAGCGGAGCGUUCCGUAAGCCUGUGAAGGGACAGUCGUGAGACAUCCUGGAGGUAUCGGAAGUGAGAAUGCUGACAUGAGUAACGAUAAAGGGAGUGAGAGACUCCCUCGCCGAAAGUCCAAGGGUUCCUGCUUAAAGUUAAUCUGAGCAGGGUUAGCCGGCCCCUAAGGCGAGGCCGAAAGGCGUAGUCGAUGGGAACCACGUUAAUAUUCGUGGGCCUGCAGGUAGUGACGGAUCGCGUGUGUUGUACGUUCUUAUUGGAUUGAACGUGCAGCGAAGCGGUUCCAGGAAAUAGCUCCUGCAUAUAGACCGUACCCUAAACCGACACUGGUGGACUGGUAGAGAAUACCAAGGCGCUUGAGAGAACUGCGUUGAAGGAACUCGGCAAAAUGCACGCGUAACUUCGGAAGAAGCGUGACCCUGCGGCGGGCAACCGUUGUGGGGUGGCACAGACCAGGGGGUAGCGACUGUUUACCAAAAACACAGGGCUCUGCGAAGUCGCAAGACGACGUAUAGGGUCUGACGCCUGCCCGGUGCUGGAAGGUUAAGAGGAGAUGUGCAAGCAUUGAAUUGAAGCCCCAGUAAACGGCGGCCGUAACUAUAACGGUCCUAAGGUAGCGAAAUUCCUUGUCGGGUAAGUUCCGACCUGCACGAAUGGCGUAACGACUUCCCCGCUGUCUCCAACGCAGACUCAGUGAAAUUGAAUUCCCCGUGAAGAUGCGGGGUUCCUGCGGUUAGACGGAAAGACCCCGUGCACCUUUACUAUAGCUUUACACUGGCAUUCGUGUCGGCAUGUGUAGGAUAGGUGGUAGACUUUGAAGCAGUGGCGCCAGCCAUUGUGGAGUCAUCCUUGAAAUACCACCCUUGCCUAUAUGGAUGUCUAACUGCGGCCCGUUAUCCGGGUCCAGGACCGUGUAUGGUGGGUAGUUUGACUGGGGCGGUCGCCUCCUAAAGAGUAACGGAGGCGCGCGAUGGUAGGCUCAGAACGGUCGGAAAUCGUUCGUCGAGUGCAAUGGCAUAAGCCUGCCUGACUGCAAGACUGACAAGUCGAGCAGAGACGAAAGUCGGUCAUAGUGAUCCGGUGGUCCCGCGUGGAAGGGCCAUCGCUCAACGGAUAAAAGGUACGCCGGGGAUAACAGGCUGAUGACCCCCAAGAGUCCAUAUCGACGGGGUUGUUUGGCACCUCGAUGUCGACUCAUCGCAUCCUGGGGCUGGAGCAGGUCCCAAGGGUAUGGCUGUUCGCCAUUUAAAGCGGUACGUGAGUUGGGUUCAGAACGUCGUGAGACAGUUCGGUCCCUAUCUGCCGUGGGUGUAGGAAUAUUGACAGGAUCUGUCCCUAGUACGAGAGGACCGGGAUGGACGUAUCUCUGGUGGACCUGUUGUCGUGCCAACGGCAUAGCAGGGUAGCUAUAUACGGACGGGAUAACCGCUGAAGGCAUCUAAGCGGGAAACCCACCUGAAAACGAGUAUUCCCUAUCAGAGCCGUGGAAGACCACCACGUUGA